rnacentral:lncRNA from 1 species
UUUAUUGUUUGCCACACAAAAGAACUGAAGUUUUGUUGCUGUUAGUUAUGGAAAUCCAGCUACCUUUGAGUACUGGAGUGAGAUGAAGUGGAGCUCUAAAUCAAUGAUUGAAAAUUUUUGAGCUGAAAGGCUCCCUUUCUCCCUCACUUGGAGAGAAGAGCAAAUAAAAAAAUGUUGUAAAAGCAACAAGCCUGAUUUCAGCAGCUCAGAAGCUGUUCAGUGGUGGCUCUCUGGUGAUCAUAAUCUAUGCUUCUUUGCUGUAAGUCUACAUAUGCUACUGUAGUAAAUGUUUUGUUUUUACUAACAGUUUGAAAGAGAACAAAACAAUAUUUUGCUUUGUAAAAUGAACAUAGAAGUUGCAACUUCUUAUGACCCACCUUAGGACCAUAAAGAAAAUACCUCCUGGGUCAGGUGAGAUGAAUCUGUGGGUAGUCUAUGGGAAACUAUGAAUCUCAGGGUAUGUUUGUAGUGCUUAGUGGAUGACAGAAAAUUUGGGGAAAUACAGCUACAGCGUUUUGUGGAUACACCAGCUCACGUCUGCAAGCAAUGAUGCUGUUCUGUUUUGCCAACUGGACAAUGUGUUUGCACUGAUUUCUGAACCAUGCUGACUCACCUGGGCAACUGACUGUGCCAACGAAUAAAAACAGAGCUUAUCUUUCGCACAGCACAGCUUUUCUGAAUCUGACAAUGCCAGAUCUUUGCUUACUGAAUCAAGCUCAUCGUGUAAUGUGAACUGGGACUUCUGAUGUUAUUAACUAGGGUGCUCUCACAACUAUUCUCUUACUUACAAAAUCCUGUGGCAUUCUUGCUUGUUGAGAACAAGCAUUUUUCCCAUUUUCCCUAACUGUGAGUUUGUAUGUGCUUAGUGAAAGGAACGUAUGAUAUUGUAUGUAGAAUGUCAUGGGGUUUUAGUGGAAACCUUCAU